GAUGAACGCUGGCGGCGUGCCUAAUACAUGCAAGUCGAGCGAACAGAUGAUGAGCUUGCUCCUCUGACGUUAGCGGCGGACGGGUGAGUAACACGUGGAUAACCUACCUAUAAGACUGGGAUAACUUCGGGAAACCGGAGCUAAUACCGGAUAAUAUAUUGAACCGCAUGGUUCAAUAGUGAAAGACGGUUUUGCUGUCACUUAUAGAUGGAUCCGCGCCGCAUUAGCUAGUUGGUAAGGUAACGGCUUACCAAGGCAACGAUGCGUAGCCGACCUGAGAGGGUGAUCGGCCACACUGGAACUGAGACACGGUCCAGACUCCUACGGGAGGCAGCAGUAGGGAAUCUUCCGCAAUGGGCGAAAGCCUGACGGAGCAACGCCGCGUGAGUGAUGAAGGUCUUCGGAUCGUAAAACUCUGUUAUUAGGGAAGAACAACUGUGUAAGUAACUAUGCACGUCUUGACGGUACCUAAUCAGAAAGCCACGGCUAACUACGUG
rnacentral:rRNA from 1 species